rfam:Domibacillus enclensis strain NIO-1016 genome assembly, contig: Ga0061089_103
AGAACCUUUAAGAACAGUCCCGUGAGGCUGGGAAGGAAUCGGACAAGUGAUGGCACACGUAUGCCGUCUUCAAGGUACCAGUACGCCUUCUCACCUAAACCGGGUGGGGAGGCUUUUUUC